rnacentral:pre_miRNA from 1 species
UUCCAUUCUGGGGCUGAGAAAAGUGGAAAAAUGUGACUUUUUUCAGAUAUUUUUGACGUUUUUCACUUUUCUCAGUCCCAUAAUGGAAA